UACGGAAGGCAGCAGUGGGGAAUAUUGCACAAUGGGCGAAAGCCUGAUGCAGCUAUGCCGCGUGUAUGAAGAAGGCCUUAGGGUUGUAAAGUACUUUCAUCGGGGAGGAAAAAACAAAACUAAUAAUUUUAUUUCUUGACGUUACCCGAAAAAGAAGCACCGGCUAACUCCGUGCCAGCAGCCGCGGUAAUACGGAGGGUGCUAGCGUUAAUCAGAAUUACUGGGCGUAAAGAGCACGUAGGUGGUUUUUUUAAAGUCAGAUGUGAAAUCCCUGGGCUUAACCUAGGAACUGCAUUUUGAAACUGAAAUACUAGAGUAUCGUAGAGGGAGGUAGAAUUCUAGGUGUAGCGGUGAAAUGCGUAGAUAUCUGGAGGAAUACCUGUGGCGAAAGCGGCCUCCUAAACGAAUACUGACACUGAGGUGCGAAAGCGUGGGGAGCAAACCAGGGAUUAGAUACC
rnacentral:rRNA from 1 species